rnacentral:rRNA from 1 species
ACCUGCACGAAUGGCGUAAUGAUGGCCAGGCUGUCUCCACCCGAGACUCAGUGAAAUUGAACUCGCUGUGAAGAUGCAGUGUACCCGCGGCAAGACGGAAAGACCCCGUGAACCUUUACUAUAGCUUGACACUGAACAUUGAGCCUUGAUGUGUAGGAUAGGUGGGAGGCUUUGAAGCGUGGACGCCAGUCUGCGUGGAGCCAACCUUGAAAUACCACCCUUUAAUGUUUGAUGUUCUAACGUUGGCCCCUGACCGGGGUUGCGGACAGUGUCUGGUGGGUAGUUUGACUGGGGCGGUCU